CCUACGGGAGGCAGCAGUGAGGAAUAUUGGGCAAUGGGCGCAAGCCUGACCCAGCCAUGCCGCGUGCAGGAAGACGGUCCUAUGGAUUGUAAACUGCUUUUAUACGGGAAGAAACACUCCCUCGUGAGGGAGCUUGACGGUACCGUAAGAAUAAGGAUCGGCUAACUCCGUGCCAGCAGCCGCGGUAAU
rnacentral:rRNA from 1 species